GUCUUUUAGAUUAUAAUUUAAAGUCUGACCUGCCCAAUGAUUAUUUAAAUGGCCGCAGUAUUUUGACUGUGCAAAGGUAGCAUAAUAAUUAGUUUUUUAAUUGAAAGCUGGAAUGAAAGGUUAAACGAGAAAAUAUCUGUCUCAAUUUAAUUUAAUUAGAAUUUUAUUUUUUAGUUAAAAAGCUAAAAUUUUUUUUAAAGACGAGAAGACCCUAUAGAGUUUUAUAUUUAUAUUAUUUAUAUUUUAGAAUUUAUUUAUAAUUUAAAAUAUUUUAUUGGGGUGAUAAAUAAAUUUAAUAAACUUUAUUAUUUAAAUACAUUAAUUUAUGAUUAUUUGAUCCAUUGAAAUGAUUAAAGAUUAAAUUACCUUAGGGAUAACAGCGUUAUUUUUUUUAAGAGUUCUUAUCGAAAAAAAAGAUUGCGACCUCGAUGUUGGAUUAAAAUUAAUUUAUGGUGUAGAAGCUAUAAUAUUAGGUCUGUUCGACCUUUAAAAUUUUACAUGAUCUGAGUUCAGACCGGUGUGAGCCAGGUUGGUUUCUAUCUUAAAAUUAUAAAAAUAUUUUAGUACGAAAGGACCAAAUAUUUAUAAUAUUUAUUUAUUUUUGAAUGC
rnacentral:rRNA from 1 species